rnacentral:rRNA from 1 species
AGCAGCCGCGGUAAUUCCAGCUCCAAUAGCGUAUAUUAAAGUUGUUGCAGUUAAAAAGCUCGUAGUUGAAUUUCGGGAUCAAAGGAUCGGUCAUGCCUUGGUAUGUACUGGUUUUAUUGGUUCUCACCUUCUAAAGAACCAUAAUGUCAUUCAUUUGAUGUUAUGGGGAAUUAGGACUGUUACCUUGAAAAAAUUAGAGUGUUUAAAGCAGGCUUACGCUUGAAUACAUUAGCAUGGAAUAAUGAAAUAGGACAUCAGAUUCUAUUUUGUUGGUUUCUAGGAUCGAUGUAAUGAUUAAUAGGGAUAGUUGGGGGCAUUAGUAUUCAAUUGUCAGAGGUGAAAUUCUUGGAUUUAUUGAAGACUAACUACUGCGAAAGCAUUUGCCGAGGAUGUUUUCAUUAAUCAAGAACGAAAGUUAGGGGAUCGAAGACGAUCAGAUACCGUCGUAGUCUUAACCAUAAACUAUGCCGACUAGGGAUCGGAUGAUGUUAAUUUUAUAAUGACUCU